GCUUCGGCAAUAGCUUAACCUAUUAUCGUCAGGGGGGUAAACAAAGUCCUAGAGCACUCAAAUUUGGCCAAUAGUUGCUCUGAAACACAAUGUAUCCACAUGCCAAAAUUGAGCUCUCAAGGACGUUGUUUACCCCCCUGACGAUAAUAGGUUAAGGUAUUGCCGAAGCAAACUUUUCCCCUAUAACUUUUUAGAAGGUUUGGGACGACCCUCAAAUUAAUGGCUUCAUUCUAGAUGUAAUGAGCCCAGCAUUGAAAGGAAAGCACUGUCAUCUAUUGACCACUGCAAAAUUCGCAUGAUGGUGGCUCGGAAUGACCAUACGAAUAAUAGGUUCAGGAUCACCCUUGGACCACCUCCGAAAAGCUGUGGCUAUCUAUUGAGCAUCAUUGAUUACGGCAAAAUUUACUUGAUUGCAACUCGGAACGACGCUGGAAAAAGUAGCUUUGCUGAAAGUUCGGGAUGACCUUUCAAAGAUAAGCUUCAGCGCCAUCGAGAGUUUUCUAGUGAACAUGAUUGAUCACCGUAGAACUCGCAACCAUAGGAAUAAUAAUUCUUCUGAUGGUUUGGGAUGACCCUUGACAGCAUAGCUUCGUUGCAGGUGAAAUCAAACUACCACCGGCUCGAAAGGAUCAUUUGCUGAAGGAUCGGGACGACUCUUGGAAAAUAUAGCUUCGUUGCAGCUGGACUGACGCCGCAUCCGAAAAAAAAUGUGGCCAUCAAGUGAGCACUAUUGACCUCCAUAGUACUAUUAUGAUGGUGGCAAGAAACGAUCCUAGCUUGGCAGAAGGUUCGGGACGAUCAUAGAAAGAAUAGCUGUGGUUAGUUGGUAAAACUCAUGAUGGUAUCUUAGAACAACCACAGGAAUAAUGACUUUGUGGAAGGUCCAAGAGACGACCAAACAGGAAAGUUUGAGCUCCUUCACACAGUGGUUCAAAACCGAAAAACAAACGUGAUCGUUUUAGAUUUGAGUGGCGUUCUUGAUUUUGGAUAUGUGGUGCCUUUGACAAAGGUUUUUUUUUAUUAAAGGAUGACGAUUUAUGAUUUUACGAUUUUAUAUGAAUCCCACUAGAAGUGAGAUGGCUUUGUCAAAUAUUAAAAUAGCUGGAAUUAGG